rnacentral:sRNA from 1 species
ACUAUAUCGAAGGCGCAGUAUCCUAGUCAACUAGGCUGGACGAGAAUGCUGAAACAAGCAUUGUUGGCACAACGAUGAAGUUUCUGGUGCUGGCUUUGAUUGCCCAAAUUGGGGCUGGUGCUGGGAGUUAAGGUUCUUGGGUGGUAUGUAACGGCAUACGUAUUCAAACCCAAUUAUCGCGGAGACCCAAGUGGGUAGAAUGUGAUGGUAUGUAUAUCCUUUCUAUCGCUUGGAUUGGGAACCUGCAUACGGCGAAAGUUGUGUGCAGUGUAGCCUGCUUUGAGUGCUCAAAUCGGGAUAGAGCGACAACUUAUGUUAAGCGCAAAGUACACGUGUUAAUGUAAGUUGCUUUUGAAAUUUUGAGCGCAAAAUAAAGAUAAGUCUUGUUGAUGUUGUUAAGGAAAACUUCUAGGCUGUUCGUAAGAAAUGCUUUGGGGAUUAUAGUGUGGUCUCAGUGGCGAUUCGGUGAAAGUUUUGCGUAAAAGGAAACUGCUUUGCUGGUAACGGCAAAGUGCAAAAUUGGGAAAUCCAACCGAACCUCAUGCCGCAAGGUUUACUCAAAGUACUGCCUUCGUUAUUUUUAA